ensembl:lncRNA
CUCAGCUCGUUGGUGUUCUCUAGGAUCUGAUGUUAUCCUCUGUAUGGACUUGAAUGAUUUGGCCUAUUUGGUUUAUCAUUUCUUCUGUCCUGUGUAAUAGCUCCCAGGUGAGCAGAACCAGCUGAAAUGGAGGUGAAGAGCAACUGAGAGAGAACUGCCAUGGUUCCAGCAUGUUCUGCACCCAGAGAGUGCCAAAAGGGAGGCUAAACACCUCAGAAAUUACUGGUCAGUUGGCAUCCGCAUAGAGCUGUUUAUCAAAGCUCUUAGCCCUGUACAGUAUAAAUUGCCUUCAUUUGACCCAAACUGUAGGAUCAUUCUCCUCCUGCUUCUCCUUCAGUUCAGCAACAACCAUGGUGUGUGUGUUCUCUUGUCUGAAGGCUGUUGUUUUCACUAUCAUGCUGCUUGGAAGAUGCCAUUUCUGUGUAUCAUGAUGAUGCAGCAUGAAGCAGAGAGGUUGGGGGUGUUUUGAAGAAUAGCACGCAGAUGGGAUGCUGCGGGGAAUUGGCAUACAGGAUGGUAUAAGGAAUUAAAUGUGUUGGACUGCCAGGCAACGAGAAAGACAUUAAAACAGCACACUUCCUGUGAAAGAAAAGUCAUGUAAGCAAUGUUUAAUUUAAGUGCUGCUGAACUAAGCAAAUGGCUGUUUUACAUAUCACUUACCGUGUGCUUUCAGAACUUUAAUUCAUUGAUGAUUUCUGUGCUCUCUUGACCCACAGUAAUAAUGGCCACUUCAGUGGCUGAUUUGCACCAUGGAGAGAAAAGCCAGGGGGCAGAAUUCCCAAGCUACUCAGUACAGGACCCUUAAAUAUUCAGCACAUUUCGGCUGCAACAGCAAAUUUACAAUUGUGUUUCUAAUUGUCUUGUUACAACAUGGAUGUGCAAUGUGUCAAAAAAUGAAAAUAUUAAUAACGACUAACAUAUCAUACUCGCUAUAAUCAUCUUUAGUCUGUCUCUGAACCUAUGGAUUUUGAAACUGAAAGGUGCUUGUAGAUUUCAGCAUGAACUCCUCUUAUCAGGGGUGUCUUGCUAUGCAGAAGAGGAUGCAGUGUUCAAGUCUGUGGACAAGAUGAAUGUACCAGACACAUGUAACCCCUGGCAUAGGCGUUCAUGACCACAGCAGAUAAGGACACAGGAUUUUGGACACAACUCAUUUUCUCACUCCAGUGUUUAUAAUUCUUUAACUUUACAUUAUUUUGUGAGUGGGUGCCGUUCCCAAGCACUUCAGUUUCUAAGACAUUGUGCCUUGGCUGAGUCAUCAUCAUCCAAAUGUCAUCUGCAGUGCUGAGCAUCUGAAAAUCAUGCUCAGGGAUGCUCUGUCCUUCUAGCACAAUGAUUUUUCUGAAAAUUGGCUUUUUUUUUUAAAAAUUGAAUUGCUACUGUGGCAUGGGACAAAUCUAUUUAAUUCCUAUGAAACUUUGGGGUGCUUAAUUUCUUAUUUAUCUAUUACUUUUUAUUGCUCAUAUCUACUUCUGAGAGGUGUUGUGAGAGCACAUUAAUGUAUGCAGGUGCAUGGUACAAGAUUAUCAUGGUGGGAUAAGGGAUUCACCACAAAUAUGAGAGGACUAUAAAUUUUAUGGGGUUAUGUGGAGAAAUAAAAAUGUGUAGGAUGAGAUUAUUGUCCUUUUC